rnacentral:rRNA from 1 species
GUGGGGAAUAUUGGACAAUGGGCGAAAGCCUGAUCCAGCCAUGCCGCGUGUGUGAAGAAGGUCUUCGGAUUGUAAAGCACUUUAAGUUGGGAGGAAGGGCAGUAAGUUAAUACCUUGCUGUUUUGACGUUACCGACAGAAUAAGCACCGGCUAACUUCGUGCCAGCAGCCGCGGUAAUACGAAGGGUGCAAGCGUUAAUCGGAAUUACUGGGCGUAAAGCGCGCGUAGGUGGUUUUGUAAGUUGGAGGUGAAAUCCCCGGGCUCAACCUGGGAACUGCAUCCAAAACUGCAUGACUAGAGUACGGUAGAGGGUAGUGGAAUUUCCUGGGUAGCGGUGAAAUGCGUAGAUAUAGGAAGGAACACCAGUGGCGAAGGCGACUACCUGGACUGAUACUGACACUGAGGUGCGAAAGCGUGGGGAGCAAACAGGAUUAGAAACCCCGGUAGUCC